rnacentral:rRNA from 1 species
UCAAAAACAUCGCCUCCUGAAUCCUAACUAUAAGAGGUCCAGCCUGCCCAGUGACUCUGUUUAACGGCCGCGGUAACCUAACCGUGCGAAGGUAGCGUAAUCACCUGUUUUUUAAUUAAAGACCUGUAUGAAAGGCAUCACGAGAAUCACACUGUCUCCUUUCUCAAGUCAGUGAAACUAAUCUCCUCGUGAAAAAGCGGGGAUAACACUACAAGACGAGAAGACCCUUUGGAGCUUAAGACAAAAUAGAUACUUGCCCCACUAUGACCCCCACAUCACACAGCAUACUACCUAUAAGUCUUGGGUUGGGGCAAUCGCGGAGUAAAAACAAACCUCCGAGCUGAACGGAGAUUUCCUAAACAAAAAGCAACAACUUUAUGUAUCAACUAACUGACACAAUUUGACCCAAUACAUUUGAUUAACGAACCAAGUUACCCCAGGGAUAACAGCGCAAUCCACUUAAAGAGUUCAUAUCGAAAAGUGGGCUUACGACCUCGAUGUUGGAUCAAGGUAUCCCGGUGGUGCAGCCGCUACCAAAGGUUCGUUUGUUCAACGAUUAAAACCUCACGUGAUCUGAGUU